AUCUAGAGCCGCAGAACGAUCAUUCUCAGAUUCAAUGCAACAUGUGUGCUGUAUGUCAAGGCGUGAGCAAUGGGUGGAACAAUCACUUUGCACAACUCAGUUCAUGCCUCAGUUUGCAGUUGCAUGGAGGUAAAACUCUCAAAUAAAAAACUGUCCUGACCACUGGAAGUGAAAAAUUCCAGCAUCCUACUAAACGGUCUAUUCAGGCACCUUGCUGGAGGAUGAUAAGAUGCAUGAUCCAAACUCAUCCGCAAUAUAGGAGGAUCAUAUAUUAAAUUCACAAAGUAAAAAGAAAAUAAAUAAAUUAAUAUUAAGGACCUUUUAAAAAAAUAUAUAUUAAGGAAG
rnacentral:misc_RNA from 1 species